AAGCCCCUGAUCCAGCCAUGCCGCGUGUGUGAAGAAGGCCCUCGGGUUGUAAAGCACUUUCAGCGGGGAAGAAGGCGUGGCGGUUAAUACCCGCCACGAAGGACAUCACCCGCAGAAGAAGCACCGGCUAACUCCGUGCCAGCAGCCGCGGUAAUACGGAGGGUGCAAGCGUUAAUCGGAAUUACUGGGCGUAAAGGGCGCGUAGGCGGCCUGUCACGCCGGGUGUGAAAGCCCCGGGCUCAACCCGGGAACGGCAUCCGGAACGGGCAGGCUCGAGUGCAGGAGAGGAAGGUAGAAUUCCCGGUGUAGCGGUGAAAUGCGUAAAGAUCGGGAGGAAUACCAGUGGCGAAGGCGGCCUUCUGGACUGACACUGACGCUGAGGCGCGAAAGCAUGGGUAGCAAACAGGAUUAGAUACCCUGGUAGUCCAUGCCGUAAACGAUGUCGACCAGCCGUUGGCCUCCUCGAGAGGCUGGUGGCGCAGUUAACGCGCUAAGUCGACCGCCUGGGGAGUACGGCCGCAAGGCUAAAACUCAAAUGAAUUGACGGGGGCCCGCACAAGCGGUGGAGCAUGUGGUUUAAUUCGAUGCAACGCGAAGAACCUUACCUGCUCCUUGACAUCCUGCGAAUCCUGGAAGAGAUUCCGGGGUGCCUCUCGGGAACGCAGAGACAGGUGCUGCAUGGCUGUCGUCAGCUCGUGUUGUGAAAUGUUGGGUUAAGUCCCGUAACGAGCGCAACCCCUAUCCCCAUUUGCCAGCGGUCCGGCCGGGAACUCUGGGGAGACUGCCGGUGACAAACCGGGAGGAAGGUGGGGACGACGUCAAGUCAUCAUGGUCCUUUA
rnacentral:rRNA from 1 species